ACUUUCCACCUAAGAGAGUAGUGUCUCCAAAAGGCAAGGACAAAAUUGAAAAGAAAUCAAUGAGUGGAAAUUUGGGUGACAAAUAAGUAAAAACAAAGUAAAACAUCCAAAUGACAAUUAUGUUAAAUAGAUGGAAAUGAAAUGGAUAAUUUUGUUCCAACCAUAGAAAAGUUAUCAAAAGUUUGUGACUUUUGAAAGUUUUGUCAUCUAUCAAUAAUCACCUAUAUGUAUCACAAUGAUUGUUUAUAAUCCUUAAUCAAAAACAAAACAAAAAGAUUG
rnacentral:lncRNA from 1 species